GGUCUCUCGUCGCGUUGACUAAACUGGCUUUGAACGCCAUGAUGGGGUGUUAGACUCACUCAGAGACUU
rnacentral:tRNA from 1 species